rnacentral:rRNA from 1 species
UACAGAGGUGGCAAGCGUUGUUCGGAAUUACUGGGCGUAAAGGGCGCGUAGGCGGCCUACUAAGUCAGACGUGAAAUCCCCCGGCUUAACCUGGGAACUGCGUCUGAUACUGGAAGGCUUGAGUAUGGGAGAGGGAUGUAGAAUUCCAGGUGUAGCGGUGAAAUGCGUAGAUAUCUGGAGGAAUACCGGUGGCGAAGGCGAGUCUCUGGACAGUUACCGACGCUGAGGCACGAAGGCCAGGGGAGCAAACGGG